UACGGAGGGUGCAAGCGUUAUCCGGAUUCACUGGGUUUAAGGGGUGCGUAGGUGGCUUUGUAAGUCAGUGGUGAAAUCUUAGAGCUUAACUCUAAAACUGCCAUUGAUACUGCUUAGCUUAAAUCAAGUUGAGGUGGAUGGAAUAUUACAUGUAGCGGUGAAAUGCUUAGAUAUGUAAUAGAACACCGAUUGCGAAGGCAGUUCACUAAGCUUGUAUUGACACUGAGGCACGAAAGCGUGGGGAUCAAACAGG
rnacentral:rRNA from 1 species